CCCUUAGAUGCUCUGGGCCGCACGCGCGCUACACUGGUCGAUGCAACGAGUUUCUUUCCUUGGCCGACAGGCCUGGGCAAUCUUUGAACAUCGAUCGUGAUCGGGAUAGAUUCUUGUAAUUUUUGAUCUUAAACGAGGAAUUCCUAGUAAACGCAAGUCAUCAGCUUGCAUUGAUUACGUCCCUGCCCUUUGUACACACCGCCCGUCGCACCUACCGAUUGAAUGGUCCGGUGAAAUCUCCGUACUGGCGUGAGUCGGAGCAAUCUGACAAACACCGGAAAGUUGAUUAAACCUUACCAUUUAGAGGAAGGUGAAGUCGUAACA
rnacentral:rRNA from 1 species